rnacentral:rRNA from 1 species
GAUGAACGCUGGCGGCGUGCCUAAUACAUGCAAGUCGAGCGAACAGACGAGGAGCUUGCUCCUCUGACGUUAGCGGCGGACGGGUGAGUAACACGUGGAUAACCUACCUAUAAGACUGGGAUAACUUCGGGAAACCGGAGCUAAUACCGGAUAAUAUAUUGAACCGCAUGGUUCAAUAGUGAAAGACGGUUUUGCUGUCACUUCUAGAUGGAUCCGCGCCGCAUUAGCUAGUUGGUAAGGUAACGGCUUACCAAGGCAACGAUGCGUAGCCGACCUGAGAGGGUGGUCGGCCACACUGGAACUGAGACACGGUCCAGACUCCUACGGGAGGCAGCAGUAGGGAAUCUUCCGCAAUGGGCGAAAGCCUGACGGAGCAACGCCGCGUGAGUGAUGAAGGUCUUCGGAUCGUAAAACUCUGUUAUUAGGGAAGAACAAAUGUGUAAGUAACUAUGCACGUCUUGACGGUACCUAAUCAGAAAGCCACGGCUAACUACGUG